rnacentral:lncRNA from 1 species
AUGUGGUGACAAAAUCCCAUCUGUGAGGAAACCAGCAGGAAUCAAGGUAAAACGAUUGAUGGGAAAUUAUUGCCAUUUGCCUUGAUCCUGUCUGUGAAGACUGCUUCCGAGUAUUUUCUUUUCCAGACCAGGUGUACUGCACAUCCUUGUUUUGUCCAGGAGAAGCCCCAGUUAUUAACACAGCAGUGAGGCUGAAGUUUCACAUGUGGGAUUCCCUCCAUGGCAGAGGAAUUUUAGCUUGGAAUUCCUCUAGGAAGAUAAUUUGGCAGAAUGCACUACAACAAUUCCUAAUUUUAUUU